ACAUCAUACUUUGGCCAGGAGCCAUACAACAAGAACCAAUCUGAGGAAGAAUUGGAUGAAAAAGUGUGGUUUUAAUGCCAUUCCCAUUUACUGAAGAGCCAAAAACAAAACAUCCUAUGGAAUCAAACGUUUCUUCAACCUUAGACCACAAAGCACCAGUUUAUUCUCUGGUGAGGUGUGAGGGAAUUAAACACCCAACAAGAACCAUAGCAAGCACCUCUCCUCCAGCCACCUUGCCUCCUAUUAAUGAUGUGUACUUUGAGAGUAGUGUCAUUAUCAUAACUUGAGUACAAAUGGCAAGAAAGUUGAGGUUUAUUUGAGUCUUCAGAGACAUCCAUAUUCUAAACAAGAAUGUUAUAUUUCCAACAUAACUCAUGAGGGCAGAAUGAAGCUGGGUCUCAAGAAACACAACAUAGUCUUUAGAGGAAUCGGACCUCCAAGCAGCUGUCAAUGUAGGAAGCAGGAGAAUGGUAUUUUAGAAAUU
rnacentral:lncRNA from 1 species